rnacentral:rRNA from 1 species
ACACGUAGGGGCCUGACGUUGUUCGGAAUCAUUGGGCGUAAAGGGCGCGCAGGCGGCCGUCCAAGUCCGGUGUUAAAUGGUCGGGCUCAACCCGAUCAUGCGCUGGAAACUGGGCGGCUGGAGUCCCGGAGGGGAUGCCGGAAUUCCAGGUGUAGGGGGGAAAUCUGUAGAUAUCUGGAAGAACACCGAUGGCGAAGGCAGGCAUCUGGCCGGAGACUGACGCUGAGGCGCGAAGGCGCGGGGAGCGAACAGGUUUAGAUACCCUGGUAGUCCGCGCAGUAAACGAUGCGCACCAGGUGUCGGGCGGCAGCGCCCGGUACCGGAGCAAACGCGAUGAGUGCGCCGCCUGGGGAGUAUGCCCGCAAGGGUGAAACUUAAAGGAAUCGGCGGGG